AAGUGGGGUGGUGAUUUGUUGGUUGUCUACUCUCCUGCCCAGGAGACUGAGGCACUUCCAGGCUGUGUUGCCCCUGAGGAAUUUGACUGCAAAAUGAGAGGAUUUCUCCUUCUCUUUGUGACUGGGUAUCAUAACUGAUUUUAGAGUGAUGGAGGAGGAUUGUAUCCUGGUGAAGAUGUCUUGCCAGAGAGGAAGGAUGGAGGAAGCAUUUGCUGGCUGCUGACUGGCAGUGGUGAUGGCAUCUCUAACUCUUCCAAGGCAACUACAGCAGAGCUGUUUGUUUAUUCACAGCAGAUGGGAUUGAUAAAGCAGGAGGAAUUACAUCUGGUAGCAGAUGGACUGUGGGCUGCUGCCAGCAUCAUGGGAAAGGAGAAACCACCAAGAGACUAAUUUUUUAGCCACAACCUACUCAAACAGCAUUGCCAUGCAUCCCUGUUUCCACCACAGCAACAGCCUCCUCUCUUUGCUUUUCCUCCCUUCUGCGUCAGCUGUGAUGCUCUAUCUCCAAAGCCCAGCCAGGAGGAGGGGACACCUCGGUGCAACUCCAACCCCAAGUUUUCUGCUGGCAGAUCACAAAAUGCUCCCACAUUGAUUGCUGCCUUUCAUCUCUCUGUUCAAAGCCCAGUGCCUUUGCUGCAGCUUUCACACAACAGGUCUUUCAUCACCACAUUAUUUAUUUCUUCUGGUGGGUGUAUGGCCAAGUUCCUCUUUCCUUGCUCCUCACUCAAUUAGAUGAAACAACAUUAAAAGUGAUGUUGUUCCAGGCCUUUCUACCACAGGGUAAACUUUUCUGCCUUUUUUUUUUCCUAAGAAAGGACACAAGUGAGUUUUUCAUCCUCUCAAAAGACAUUGCAAGAUGCUUCUGAUGUCUUGAAAGGCAUGUGCCACUGUGGGCCCUGUGGUGCCUGCUCACCCCAGUCCCCAUCACAGAGCCUGGUUCCUGUAACUUGCAGUCCAGUUAAACCAAAAGGUCAUCCCCAGCACAAAGGGAAGAGCAGCUUUUAGGGUUUCUUUUGGGAUGUGCCACAGCAGAGCAUUUCCUCGGGCACAAGAGCUGGUGUGUGUAGAGCACAGCAGGGGACAGAGAUUAGCAACUGUUAUUUUUAAGCACUAGGCUAAGAGGAUCUCUGCAGUGAUGUAGGAAGCUCUGGGUUGGCAUCAUGUGCUGGCAACUGCCUUUGGGUGAAAGCCAGGGGAAUACCUGCUAGUCCUGGCACCCAGUGAGAGAUGAAGUAUGCCAAGGUAGACCUGACCCUUCCCAUGCCCUGCACUCCCUAGCACCUUGUCCCCAUUCAACAAGUCUCCAGAAAGGACCAUGACAAGGUUUGAAUGUGCUGAUUGGGGAUAAACAAAGCAACAGGUUGGCAGAUGGGUUCUGCUGGGGUAGAAUUAAAGAGGAGAGGCAACCCCUGCUCUGCUCCCCAGCCUCUGCACUGCUGUCAUGGGGCAAAGGUAUAGUUUUCCCUCCUGCUCUGGGAGUGUAGAGCUCUGCCCAGACCCAUCUCCCCCUGGCCCUCUCCUCUGCAUGCCAGUGGGGAAAUAAAGUUCUGAAUUUUGUUGUCAGAAGUAGUUUUGCACCACAUGCAUUGCACAGACUUAGGCACCUCCUGCAUCUCUCCCAGGCAAAGGUGGUUAGGCAGCUACAGCAUCAAAAUAGUCCUUGAGCAGGUGUCUCCAUGUUUCAGACAGCUUUUGGAGGUGUAAGUAUGGAUCUUCUCCAUGGAACAGCUAGAAGGAGAGGUGCUGGUGGCUUGUGGGGGUAGGAGAGAAGUCUCUCAGGCAAACAUCCUUUGGGGAUGCUGAUGCCUGGAGUAGGCAAGAAACCCCUUCACUGCUUGUUUUCAGACAAGUUUUUUUCUGGUACCUGCCUCUAACAGGACCACUGGAAGCCUGGCAAUGGCAGCAGCAGAGCCUUGUGCCUCCAGGAGCUGUGCUAGCCUGUGGGACCUUCCACAGCCACACAACCAUCCCCACUACAAUCAUGGGGAGCUGGGAGUAAAGCCUGUCCCUGGCACAUGACUGACACUACACCCCCCUCCAGAAUUCCCUUGAGCCCUGUCUGGCCAUGAAAUGUCCAGCACUCUGUGAUCUGACUCAUCCUCAGUCACCCAGCAUGCUAGAGAGCUGCAGGCUGUUGUCCCCACGUCACCCAUCAGCUCCCUGCUAGAGGCCACAUCUGAUCCCACAGCAGCGUGUGGCCGAGUGCCCUCUGACCUGUGCCCAGCGAUCCUCAGGUUUCCCCCUAUGCAGGCAACAUCACGAGGUUUCCUAACACACCUUGAGCUGGUGAAACGAGUCCCUGCUGCUGGAAAACUCUCCCUGCGUAGUUCAUGGAAGGGGAGAAGGAUCCACCACCUGUGCAUCCCAUGGGAAGCUUCAUGGAUCUAGCCGGGUCCAGGCUAGGACCCACCUGGAGGGUACUUCAUCUGCUCAUGGUGAGACUUGGACACAGAGGGACUCUCCAGGGACAGUCUGCAGCCAGCAGUGGGCUCUGUCCCUAAAAGGUGCUGAGCUCCUGGUCCUUCAGCAGCGGGUGAGCAAGGGUGAAGUUAGACCCAGAGAAAGGCAGAGGAUGCUCAGAAUCCCUUAGGGAUGCAGAAAAGCAGGGGCCCUGGCAGGGGUGGGAGGCUCUGCCCCCAGUCCCAGCGCUGUAGGAUGCUUGUGGGUGGGGAAACGACUCCCACCAGCAUGCCAUCAUCCCUGCCUGAUCAGGAGAUGCAGGAGGACAGCAAGGCAAAGACCGGAGACACCAGGAGGAUACUCACCCCAUCUCCAUCCUAAGCCUUCACUCCUCCAUCCUCUAUACCACCAGGAAAAUGAGACCCUGACAUGCACCUGAGGCUGGGCAGAUCAGAGAGGGGAACAUAAAAGACGCUGAAAGCUUGUCUGCAGGCAGAUAGACAUCAUCAUCCAUGCCCAUCCUGUGCCAAAGGCUACAGGUACCCUCAGUGAGCAGCUAAGGGACAAGAAAGGUGACAUGAGGCCAGCAGCCACUGAAGCCCUGAUGUCCCCAGUACAACCUCGUGGUGAUGCUCUAAUAAGGUUGAUGGGAAGAAGGUGGAAAAGCUGAUGACAUCUCAACACAAAGGCCACAUUUCCAUGGGAAUUCACACACACACAUCUUCCAAGAGCCAAACCAGACAAGAAAGAGAACCCCAUUCAAAACAUGAAUGAAUCCUAGUGCCCUUUGCAACCUCUUCAGAAAGCAGCUCAUCCCUCCAGGGGAUGGAAAAGAGGUGAUGCUCCAGGUGCCUGCCGCACUGUGGAGUGUCCUCAAGAAGAAUCCCCAAGGCCAAGAGCUGGCAGCAGGAUCAGCCUUCCUGCACAUUUCCCAUCACGGAUGGAAGAUGCCUUCAGGAACCAGACUGGUGACAGUGGGAUCCAGGAGGGGCAAGAGGAACAAAAUAACCCCCAUCUUUGGCAGGACCUACAGGUCUAUCUGGGACAGUCAAGCCCUGGCUGAAAGCAGCAGGUCCAAGCCGAGAUGCAGAGUGAGAUCAUCUCCAAGAACCUCUCCCACGCUCUGCCACUUAGCUGGGAAGAUUUUUUUUCGAGUUCCUUCCCCAGCCUUGCUAGAUGACGAGGCUUUGGCAAAGGCUAUUUCAUGAUGCCUGUGCCCUGCUUUACCUUUUCUCAGAGCCCAGAUAGAGAAGGGAGAGAGAACGAUGAUAAACCACAUUUAACAGCAUAACCCCCAUCCCCAACGUCCCCAGUCUGCAGCCGGGGGUGCUGGUGAGGGACACCUGAAGUGAACCAUCAGUCCCGAAAUAGAUCUGCCUCAGAGGGCAAAAGGCAAAUUGAAUGAAAAAUAAGUUACUAUUUUUAAA